UGGGGAAUUUUGGACAAUGGGCGAAAGCCUGAUCCAGCAAUGCCGCGUGUGUGAAGAAGGCCUUCGGGUUGUAAAGCACUUUUGUCCGGAAAGAAAUCCUUGGCUCUAAUACAGUCGGGGGAUGACGGUACCGGAAGAAUAAGCACCGGCUAACUACGUGCCAGCAGCCGCGGUAAUACGUAGGGUGCAAGCGUUAAUCGGAAUUACUGGGCGUAAAGCGUGCGCAGGCGGUUUGCUAAGACCGAUGUGAAAUCCCCGGGCUCAACCUGGGAACUGCAUUGGUGACUGGCAGGCUAGAGUAUGGCAGAGGGGGGUAGAAUUCCACGUGUAGCAGUGAAAUGCGUAGAGAUGUGGAGGAAUACCGAUGGCGAAGGCAGCCCCCUGGGCCAAUACUGACGCUCAUGCACGAAAGCGUGGGGAGCAAACAGGAUUAGAUACCCUGGUAGUCCACGCCCCUAAACGAUGUCAACUAGUUGUUGGGGAUUCAUUUCCUUAGUAACGUAGCUAACGCGUGAAGUUGACCGCCUGGGGAGUACGUCGCAAGAUUAAAACUUAAAUGAAUUGAC
rnacentral:rRNA from 1 species